rnacentral:ncRNA from 1 species
GAGAGCCGGAUGCGGGGAAACUCGCAUGUCCGGUUCGGAGCGGGGGAUGAAGAAACCUGCCCUGGCAACGGGGCAAGGCGCUUCAUCCCUACUCUAC